rnacentral:rRNA from 1 species
UACGUAGGGACCAAGCGUUGUUCGGAUUUACUGGGCGUAAAGGGCGCGUAGGCGGCAAUUCAAGUCAUCUGUGAAAUCUCCGGGCUUAACUCGGAACGGUCAGAUGAUACUUGCUUUGCUAGAGUACAGAAGGGGCAAUCGGAAUUCUUGGUGUAGCGGUGAAAUGCGUAGAUAUCAAGAGGAACACCUGAGGUGAAGACGGGUUGCUGGGCUGAUACUGACGUGAGGCGUGAAAGCUAGGGUAGCAAACGGG